rnacentral:rRNA from 1 species
UACGAAGGGGGCUAGCGUUGUUCGGAUUUACUGGGCGUAAAGCGCGUGUAGGCGGGUCGUUAAGUUGGGGGUGAAAUCCCGAGGCUCAACCUCGGAACUGCCUUCAAAACUGGCGACCUGGACUCAAGUAGAGGCAAGUGGAAUUGCGAGUGUAGAGGUGAAAUUCGUAGAUAUUCGCAGGAACACCAGUGGCGAAGGCGACUUGCUGGACUUGUAGUGACGCUGAGACGCGAAAGCGUGGGGAGCAAAC